UUCCGAAAAAGCCAGCCAAUCACUUUUGGAGAAAUGAGCGCAUUGCAGCAGAAUGCGCUGACGUCAGAGACCACCCCUUCUGCGCCUCCAUAUAAACCCCACCCAGCCAGCCCCUAGCGCAGACGGCGACGAGCUGGAUGGAGCGCGCCUCGCCUUGCUGGCCUGGGCCGCAGCUCCUCCGAAGACCCGGGGCGCCCACGCGAGAAUCUCCCCGCCAGGUUCUCUCUUCAGGGAUGACAUCACCAUUCACCUCCGUGUCUUCAAGGACCACCUGUCGAUGCCCAGCUGCUGCCAAGGUGCUUGCUGCUCAUCUCCACCUUACGAAGACCUCAGGAGCACCCAUUUCUGGAUCCCACCAGUAUACCAAGCAGCCACUGGCAGAGACCCCACAGGACCAGGACCACGGAGGCUGAAGAGGACCAGAACUGACCAAGCAGCUGUUCCUCUUGGCUAAAGACUUAAUCCGAUGCCCUAGUGAGGGGGCAUUGGACAUUCACCCCUGACCUUUGCUAUGCUUGUGCCUAUUGCUAUGAAUACUUUCCUGUAAGUCUCUGCUUGUGUUAAUAUGCCAGCGACCUGGAGUGUUUCCCUCCCCAAGAAGGUGUCAGUUUUUCUCAGCUGACCCUAUUGUUGCCCGGAUGAUGUCCUGAACAGAAGGACCCCUUUGGGAACUUCUCAGGAGGGGGACCUGGGCCAAGGGCUCCGCCAGCAUCUUACUGGCAUUUCCAAAGCCGUGGUGGGCUUCUGGAAUGAGCAUGAGCCCUGACGUCAUGGGCAUCCUUGUCCUUUCCGGGGAAUGGUGAUGAGAAGAGCAACCUCCUAGGGUUGUUGUGAGUAUUAAAUGAGCCAAAUUAGCUGGGGACAGGGCUGGGCAUGAGGAGGUGUUCAGCAAACAUUUGUUGAAAGUUUGAUAGGUCAGUCCAUCCCCAUCAGUGUCACUUGUCUGAUGCCUCUUGUUUAUCUUCCCCACAGCUCUCCGCCAGCCCCUGUCCACGGGGCUCUCCUGCACAGCCACGCUUCUCCAAAGGCCUGUCUCCACUUGCUGUCUUCCUUCCUCACCUCCAAUUUCCUCUUCAAUCCACUGCUUCCUGCCUUCUCUACUCCGUCGAGCGGCUUUCACUAAGGUUGACCCGGGGCCGGGUCAGCUGAAGAACUGACGGAAGAGGCAGAAGAGCCCCAGGAGGACACCGCCCUGGACCAAGCCCUCCUUCCCAACCCCGCGCCCAGCCUCGUGCCUCCGUCCUGGUUUGGGACGAAGCCAUCGUCCGGAAUUCCUCGUGGGAUGGGACCUCAGACACAAGCCCCCGCACCCUCCACCUGCGAAAUCCCUCCACAGCCACGGGGACGCCCUGCUCACAUUCCCUCGGGACAGGCUGGACCCAAAGACUCUGGACCCGGCUGCCCCCUGCGAGGAGGCGUGUGCCCUCCUCAGCCUCCCCUGCGGUAGCCGCCCACGCUUUGCGGAUGGACUUCAUUGAGCUGAGGGUCAGACACGUGGGCUUGACGCCUGCCCACACCUUAUGAACCCUGAGACUUAGGGGACUGGCUGUGCCUUCGCCAUCCGCAUCUGUGAAAGGGGCUCUGCACCUACCUCACAGGGUUGUUGUGAGGAGCCUGUGAUGCGGUCUGAAAGUGCCCAACCUGGGGCUUGGCACAUCCUAUUGUGCUCUCAAUAAAUACCUUUUUUUUUGCCUUAACAAACACAGUAAUGGAUGUGCUACUAAUGUAAGAACGGGUAAGUGUUAAAUGUGCCUCUCACUGGGGCUUCUCUCUUUGGGCAGUGUGAUGGGUGGGGAGGGGCAGGGGAGCCAGCUCCAGUCCCCGCCUGUCCCCUACCCAUCUGGCACUCAAGGGUGAUAAAAUGUCCUGCAGCAGGGCUGGCCUGGUGGAGGUUCUGGGACUGAUGCACAUUUGGAUGAGCUAACCUGGCUGGACCCCCUUCUUCUAAUGGUCAUAGGAUGCCAGGUUUCUUUCCAGAAAGGAAUAUACAGAGAUGGUGGAGGAAGUCCGAGUUGAGCUCACUGUCCUGGCUUCUGCAGCCUCAGAGGGGCUGCCCCCAGGGCUACAGUUCUUGUCCUCCUCACACAUUGUGGUGGUGGGGGCCUCUGGCCAGGCAGUUAUCAUUUUAGAACUGAUGGAAAGGGGAUGGCCAACCACGUAGUCUCAAGCAGGUACAAUCUGGCUGUGAUCCUGAGUCAACACUCAUUCCAGGAGAGUCCUGUAUGUAAUGGGUAAAGCUGUGUCACUGAUGAAGCUGAGUCAGUAAGAAUGAAGGACUCCUAGAUGUUCCAGAGCUGAGACUAUAGCUCCAGCCUCCAUUGAAGCUCAGAGGUCCACGAUGGGUGGCCCUCAUGAUGUUCCAGAUCUGAGACUCCAGCUCCAGCCUCUGAAGAGGCGCCAUCUUGAUAUUCCAGAACUGAAAACCCAGCUCAAGUCUCCAAUGAAGCUCAGAUGUCCACAAUGAGUGGCCCUCUUGAAAUUCCAGAUCUGAGAACCCAGCUUCAGAGUCUGAUGAAGCCCAGAUGCCCCUGAUGAGUGGCCCUCCUGAUGUUCCAGACCUGAGAACCCAGCUUAAGUCUCCAAUGAAGCUCAGACAUCCAUGAUCAGUGGCACUCAUGAUGUUCCAGAUCUGAGACCCCAUCUCCAGCCUCCGAUGAAGCUCAUGUGUCAAUGAUGAGUGGCCCUCUUGAUAUUCUAGAACUGAGACCUCAGCUCCAGCCUCUGGUGAAGCUCAAAUGUCCAUGACAAGUGGCCAUCUUGAUGUUCCAGAACUGAGACCUCAGCUCUAGCCUCUGAUGAAGCUUAGAUAUCUAUGACAAGUGGCCCUCCUGAUGUUCCAGACCUGAGAACCCAGUUCCAGCCUCUGAAGAAGCUCAGAUGUCCAUGAUGAAGGGUCCUCUUGAUGUUCCAGACGUGAAACCCCAGGUCCAGCCUCUGAUGGAGCUCAGAUGUCCACAAUGAGUGGCCCUCAUGAUGUUUAAGAUCUGAGAACCCAGUUCCAGUCUCCGAUGAAACUCAAAUGUCCAUGACGAGUGGCCACCUUCAUGUUUCAGAACUGAGAACCCAGCCAGGUCUCCAGUGUAGCUCAGAUGUCCACAGUGAGUGGCCCUUAUGAUGUUCCAGAUAUGGGAUUCCAGCUCCAACUCCAGCCUCUGAUGGAGAUCAGAUGUCCACGAUGAGUGGCCCUCAUGAUGUUCCAGAUCUGGGACCUCAGCUCCAGCCUCUGACUGAGCUCAGAUGUCAACAAUGAAUGGCCUGCUUGAUGUUCCAGAUCUGAAACUCCAUCUCCAGCCUCUUAUGAAGCUCAAAUGUCCAUGAUGAGUGGCCAUCUCAAUGUUUCAGAACUGAGACCCAGCUCCAGCAUCCAGUGAAGCUCAGAUGUCCAUGAUGAACGGCCGUCAUGAUGUUCACAACUGAGACCCCAGCUCCACCUUCUGAUGAAGCUCAGAUGUCCAUGAUGAAGGGUCCACUUGAUGUUCCAGAUCUGAGA